CCUACGGGAGGCUGCAGUGGGGAAUUUUGGACAAUGGGCGCAAGCCUGAUCCAGCUAUUCCGCGUGUGGGAUGACGGCCUUCGGGUUGUAAACCACUUUUGUAGAGAACGAAAAGUCUGUUGAUAAUACCGAUAGAUGAUGACGGUACUCUAAGAAUAAGCACCGGCUAACUACGUGCCAGCAGCCGCGGUAAUACGUAGGGUUCGAGCGUUAAUCGGAAUUACUGGGCGUAAAGGAUGUGCAGGCGGUUUUGCAAGAUGGAUGUGAAAGCCCCGGGCUUAACCUGGGAAAGCCAUACAUGACUGCAAGACUAGAGUGCGUCAGAGGGGGGUGGAAUUCCAAGUGUAGCAGUGAAAUGCGUAGAUAUUUGGAAGAACACCGAUGGCGAAGGCAGCCCCCUGGGACGCAACUGACGCUCAUACACGAAAGCGUGGGGAGCAAACAUGAUUAGAUACCCCUGUAGUC
rnacentral:rRNA from 1 species